rnacentral:rRNA from 1 species
AACGAACGCUGGCGGCAGGCUUAACACAUGCAAGUCGAGCGCCCCGCAAGGGGAGCGGCAGACGGGUGAGUAACGCGUGGGGAUCUGCCUAGUGGUACGGAACAACACGGGGAAACUCGUGCUAAUACCGUAUAAGUCCUUCGGGAGAAAGAUUUAUCGCCAUUAGAUGAACCCGCGUCUGAUUAGCUAGUUGGUGAGGUAACGGCUCACCAAGGCGACGAUCAGUAGCUGGUCUGAGAGGAUGAUCAGCCACACUGGGACUGAGACACGGCCCAGACUCCUACGGGAGGCAGCAGUGGGGAAUAUUGGACAAUGGGCGCAAGCCUGAUCCAGCCAUGCCGCGUGAGUGAUGAAGGCCUUAGGGUUGUAAAGCUCUUUCGCUAGGGAAGAUAAUGACGGUACCUAGAGAAGAAGCCCCGGCUAACUUCGUGCCAGCCGCCGCAGUAAAAC